GGGAUUUAUUGUGGCGUAAAGCGAGCGCAGACGGUUGAUUAAGUCUGAUGUGAAAGCCCGGAGCUCAACUCCGGAAUGGCAUUGGAAACUGGUUAACUUGAGUGUUGUAGAGGUAAGUGGAACUCCAUGUGCAGCGGUGGAAUGCGUAGAUAUAUGGAAGAACACCAGUGGCGAAGGCGGCUUACUGGACAACAACUGACGUUGAGGCUCGAAAGUGUGGGUAGCAAACAGGAUUAGAUACCCUGGUAGUCCACACCGUAAACGAUGAAUACUAGGUGUUAGGAGGUUUCCGCCUCUUAGUGCCGAAGCUAACGCAUUAAGCACUCCGCCUGGGGAGUACGACCGCAAGGUUGAAACUCAAAGGAAUUGACGGGGGCCCGCACAAGCGGUGGAGCAUGUGGUUUAAUUCGAAGCAACGCGAAGAACCUUACCAGGUCUUGACAUCCUUUGACCACUCUAGAGAUAGAGCUUCCCCUUCGGGGGCAAAGUGACAGGUGGUGCAUGGUUGUCGUCAGCUCGUGUCGUGAGAUGUUGGGUUAAGUCCCGCAACGAGCGCAACCCUUAUUGUUAGUUGCCAUCAUUUAGUUGGGCACUCUAGCGAGACUGCCGGUGACAAACCGGAGGAAGGUGGGGAUGACGUCAAAUCAUCAUGCCCCUUAUGACCUGGGCUACACACGUGCUACAAUGGGAAGUACAACGAGUCGCGAAGUCGCGAGGCUAAGCUAAUCUCUUAAAGCUUCUCUCAGUUCGGAUUGUAGGCUGCAACUCGCCUACAUGAAGCCGGAAUCGCUAGUAAUCGCGGAUCAGCACGCCGCGGUGAAUACGUUCCCGGGCC
rnacentral:rRNA from 1 species